GCAAAAUAGACCUGUAACUUAGGGAAAAGGGUUGGCUCAAAUGGAAGGGUAUUCGUACGGUGUAGCAAUAUGCUGUGCGGGUGCUAUCACUUCUAACUUUGAACUGUUACUAACUAGGGGAAUCCAACUGUUUAAUAAAAACAAAGCAUUGAGAAGUUUUUGAGGAUUGAAAGUGUCUUUGACUCAAUGUGAUUUCUGCCCAGUGCUCUGAAUGUCAAAGUGAAGAGAUUCGACGAAGCGCGGGUUAACGGCGGGAGUAACUAUGACUCUCUUAAGGUAGCCAAAUGCCUCGUCUUCUAAUUAAAGACGUGCAUGAAUGGAUUAAUGAGAUUCCUACUGUCCCUAUCUAUAAGCUAGUGAAACCACUGUCAGGGGAACGGGCCUGAUAAAAAAGACAGCGGGGAAAGAAGACCCUAUUGAGCUUGACUCUAGUUUGUAUUUGUGACGUGAUAUUAGGGGUGUAGCAUAAGUGGGAGAGGCAACUCGACAAGUGAAAUACCACUACCGUAAUCAUUACUUUACUAAGGAAAUGAGAGGCGAGGUGCUUGUGAUGAUGAGGUUCGCGCCUUGUUGUCACACACGUUUGUAAGAGUUUGGGAGUGCUGGAAAAACUUGGUUGAUGGUUGAGGGUACGUCUGGAGCUCAGUGCGAUUGAAGCAUUCACCCACGUGGUGUCUGCUUCUCCCGUGCGACUCUGAGACGUCUCCCUCGGCAUGUAGACCGGGGAAUCUGCCGGGUACUCCAACUCGCCUAUUUUCGAUAUUUUCAGAUGGGGAGUUUGGCUGGGGCGGCACAAUUGUGACAGGAUAGCGCAAGUGUCCAAAGGCAUACUCAAAAAGGACAGAAACCUUUUGUAGAGGAGAAGGCCAAAUAGUAUGCUUGAUUAUGAUGUUCAGUAAAUAUGAUAACCAUGAAAGUGUGGCCUAUCGAUCCUUUAGCGGGGCAAGUGCAUAACGAUCACUAACCCUUCAUAUAACCAAUUUCGUUUAUUCUAGAGGUGUCAGAAAAGUUACCAUAGGGAUAACUGGCUUGUGGUGGCCAAGAGCUCAGAUCGACGUCACUUUUUGAUCCUUCGAUGUCGGCUCUUCCUAUCAUUACCAAGCAGAAUUGGUAAAGCGUUGGAUUGUUCACCCAUCAAAAGGGAACGUGAGCUGGGUUUAGACCGUCGUGAGACAGGUUAGUUUUACCCUCCUGUCGAGUUUAGCAAUCUGGAAUUGCGUACUUAUGUACGCUCCAUAAAAUAGAUCGAGUAGUUUUGAUAGUAAUUUAAUUCAGUACGAGAGGAACCAUUAAUUCACAUAAUUAGCAAUGCUGUUGGUUGACAAGCCAAUGCAGCAAAGCCAACAUGUGUCUGAUUACAGCUGAAAGCCUCUAAGCUGGAAACAGACCUAGAGAAGGAACUAUUGU
rnacentral:rRNA from 1 species